UCCUGCAGGGGAGUUUAAACUUGCACACAGUCUACAAAUUAUAGUCAGUAGUUUCCAGCAAUCAUUGUAACACAUGUAGGCUCCUAUAAUGGAAGCAGCAACCCUAAUUAAGUAUUUCAUCAACAUCUGCAGGAUGCCCCAUCCAGGUCACGAAGGUUGAAGAUGGCCAGGCAAGGCGAGGGACGACAGUUCACGGGUCAAACAGAUGGAGGUGACGGCUGCAACAAGGCUAGAGUUGGGACUGUGAAAUGGCGGCAAAACCUGAUGACUUUCACAUAGACUCAACAGGCUGUUUCUAUGUUCAAGAAGGAACUGCAGAUGCUGGAAGAUCGAAGGUAAGACUUAAGAAUUUGAAAGGACACAAAGUGCUGGAGGAACCCAACAGCUCAGGCAGCACCUCUGGAGAACAUGCAGAAGUGACAUUUCAGGAAUUGAUAAGUCUAAGAAUGGAUACACCCUGUUCGAGGAAGAAAUGAGAAGAGUAUGCACGCACGUAUGCACACUCACACACCACCAGAGUCGUCUCUUCAAGCCCAAACCUGAGUUGGCUGAAAAUCUGAAGACGUCACAUAUUCAUUUUCUCCAGAGAUGCUGUCUGACCCGCUGUUACUCCAGGUUUGCGUGUUUUCUCAAGGAAAGGGUGUACUGCAGGAAGAAAUCUGGAAUCGACACACCUCCUCCUUUAAAGACAAAGGCUGAGCAACUGGGACAACCCUGAGAUCGGCGGCAUCAUCUCACGUGCACUUUGACGGCUAGAAACGGCACCCCUGGGUGGUCCUGAUCUUUCGUACUACUGUAAAUAAAAUAUAUCGUGAGAGUUCACCCUUCUGCGAGUGUCGGUGUGGUCACUGCUGAACCCGGCAUCGUCCCCAAAGCCACAAGAUCAAAAAGAAGAAUAAAGAGAUGGAGAGACCUCGGAGAUUUGGGACUGCAUUCCAGAGUGCGAAAUCUUCAUGGCUACUCCACAACCCUCAGAGAUGGGUUGAAUAAGGAGGCAUACAUGCAUAUUAUUUGAGCACCAGUGCAUUAAGGAAGACUGAGUGUGCAGGGGUAAAGAAAGUUACAAGGCUUUAAAGGGAUGUACCACUAUAGAACGGAAAAUAGGCAGUAAUAUUUGUCGAGGUGAUCUUUAUGGAGAGCACUGGAAUAGUCUUGCAAUAUCUUUAACAUGAAAGAAGUGGAUCAAGAUAUAGGCUUAGGUACUUAGAUACAAAAGCCUGAAAGCACGUCCCACCAUAUUUGGGUACCGCUUCAGACUACUGUUAUUAAACCACUGAAUGAUCCUCCCAUAAGCUAGCAUGUAGUCCCUGAUCUUCAAUCUCAUAGAGUAUAAAAGGUCACAUCUUAUUCUUCCAAACUGCAGUGAUUUGGAAGGAUAGACACUAGGGUCAGGCAGUAUCCCAGGAGAACAAGGACAGAUGAUGUUUUGGGUCGGAACUUCAGUCUUCAGAUAUUCAGUCUUCACCCUUGCCUGGUGACCUAUUACCUGCCAUGCUUUGUCCUCCGAAACGGCACCUAACCAUGUUCCCCAGAGAUGCUGCCUAUGUUACUCCAGCAGUUUGUGUCCUUCAGACUUGGGUAUAUCUUUAUCUUUGGUAUAAAGCAUCGCCUGCAGUUCCUUGUUAUUACAAUGUGAUUUGGAAGGAACUGGGUUGGCUGAUACAAGAUGAGUGCUCGAAGGAGUACCUUUGCAGAAUUGUCCACAUGGAUAGUGGCAUGCUGUGAAAAACAUGGAGAGGUUUGGGUAAAGGGUAAGAAUCUUGUCAUCUGGGCAAUAACCUCAGUCAAAACCAGGGUUUCAGCUUAAUCAGUCUAAGUAAAGUUGUGCAAACAAAGGAUUCUUGUCCCUGACAACAGUUUGAAUGGGUAAGCAGGAAGGGCAAAGGAAGUUGCUGAGGUUAACAACUAACCGAUAUACCAAGCAUAAAGUUUCACCAAGAAAAUAUGGGACAGCUGGGUUUUCAACCUAUACUGGAGACAUAACAAAAACACUAAGGGGAGACAAAGAGAGCAGCUUUCUACAGGUGUACAGUGGCACAGCGAUAGAGUUGCUGCCUUGCAGCACCAGAGGCAUAGGUUCUGCCAUCAGUAUGGAGUUUGUACGUUCUCCCUAUGACCCCGUGGGAUGGCCAAACAUACUGCUAAAGCAACAAAAGAGUUUUUCAAAGCUAAAAAUGGUCAAUUCUUGAGUGACCAAGUCAAUCACCCGAUCUGAAUCCAAUUGAGCAUGCCUUUUAUACGUUGGAGAGAAAACUGAAGGGGACUAGUCCCCAAAACAAGCAUAAGCUAAAGAUAGCUACAAUACAGGUCUGGCAGAACACCACCAGAGAAGACAUCCAGCAACUGGUGAUGUCCAUGAAUCGCAGGCUUCAAGCAGUCACUGCUUGCAAAGGAUAUACAACAAAAUACUAAACAUGACUACUUUCAUUUACAUGUCAUUGCUGUGUCCCAAACAUUAUGGUGCCCUGAAAUGUGGGGACUAUGUAUAAACACUGCUGUAAUUUCUACAUGGUGAAACCAAAAUGUGUAAAAAUGGCCUUUAUGAAAAUCUGACAAUGCAAACUUUAACCAUAUGUGAUUUUUUUCUAUUACAAAAUCUCAACUUGUGGAGUACAGAGGCAAAUAAAUAAAUGAUGGGUCUAUGUUCCAAACAUUAUGGAGGGCAUUGUAAAUGCUCAUCUUGAUUUGGUAGAUCCACAACAAGGGUCGGCAACCUACGGACCCCAGGCCGAAUGCGGCCUGUAACCCAAAAUCAU